AUUGAACGCUGGCGGCAGGCCUAACACAUGCAAGUCGAACGAGUGGCGGACGGGUGAGUAAUGUCUGGGAAACUGCCUGAUGGAGGGGGAUAACUACUGGGAACGGUAGCUAAUACCGCAUACCAUCGGAUGUGCCCAGAUGGGAUUAGCUAGUAGGGUGGGUAACGGCUCACCUAGGCGAUGAUCCCUAGCUGGUCUGCGGGGAUGACCCGCCACACUGGAACGGAGACACGGUCCAGAGUCCUACGGGAGGCAGCAGUGGGGAAUAUUGCACAAUGGGCGCAAGCCUGAUGCAGCCAUGCCGCGUGUAUGAAGAAGGCCUUCGGGUUGUAAAGUACUUUCAGCGGGGAGGCGUUACCCGCAGAAGAAGCACCGGCUAACUCCGGGCCAGCAGCCGCGGUAAUUC
rnacentral:rRNA from 1 species